CGCGUAGGCGGACCAUCAAGUCGGAUGUGAAAACUGGCGGCUUAACUGCCAGCCUGCACUCGAUACUGUUGGUCUUGAGUACAGUAGAGGAAAGCGGAAUUCCAGGUGUAGCGGUGAAAUGCGUAGAUAUCUGGAAGAACACCAGUAGCGAAGGCGGCUUUCUGGGCUGAUACUGACGCUGAAGCGCGAAGGCUUGGGUAGCAAACAGGAUUAGAUACCCUGGUAGUCC
rnacentral:rRNA from 1 species